rnacentral:rRNA from 1 species
AUUGAACGCUGGCGGCAGGCCUAACACAUGCAAGUCGAGCGGAUGAAGGGAGCUUGCUCCUGGAUUCAGCGGCGGACGGGUGAGUAAUGCCUAGGAAUCUGCCUGGUAGUGGGGGAUAACGUCCGGACACGGGCGCUAUACCGCAUACGUCCUGUGGGAGAAAGUGGGGGAUCCUCGGACCUCACGCUAUCAGAUGAGCCUAGGUCGGAUUAGCUAGUUGGUGGGGUAAAGGCCUACCAAGGCGACGAUCCGUAACUGGUCUGAGAGGAUGAUCAGUCACACUGGAACUGAGACACGGUCCAGACUCCUACGGGAGGCAGCAGUGGGGAAUAUUGGACAAUGGGCGAAAGCCUGAUCCAGCCAUGCCGCGUGUGUGAAGAAGGUCUUCGGAUUGUAAAGCACUUUAAGUUGGGCGGAAGGGCAGUAAGUUAAUACCUUGCUGUUUUGACGUUACCAACAGAAUAAGCACCGGCUAACUUCGUG